rnacentral:rRNA from 1 species
ACUCCGCCUGGGGAGUACGACCGCAAGGUUGAAACUCAAAGGAAUUGACGGGGGCCCGCACAAGCGGUGGAGCAUGUGGUUUAAUUCGAAGCAACGCGAAGAACCUUACCAGGUCUUGACAUCCUUUGACCACUCUGGAGACAGAGCUUUCCCUUCGGGGACAAAGUGACAGGUGGUGCAUGGUUGUCGUCAGCUCGUGUCGUGAGAUGUUGGGUUAAGUCCCGCAACGAGCGCAACCCUUGAUUUUAGUUGCCAGCAUUUAGUUGGGCACUCUAAAGUGACUGCCGGUGCAAGCCGGAGGAAGGUGGGGAUGACGUCAAAUCAUCAUGCCCCUUAUGACCUGGGCUACACACGUGCUACAAUGGAUAGUACAAAGGGUCGCGAAGCCGCGAGGUGGAGCUAAUCCCAUAAAACUAUUCUCAGUUCGGAUUGUAGGCUGCAACUCGCCUACAUGAAGCCGGAAUCGCUAGUAAUCGUGGAUCAGCAUGCCACGGUGAAUACGUUCCCGGGCCUUGUACACACCGCCCGUCACACCACGAGAGUUUGUAACACCCGAAGUCGGUAGGGUAACCUUUAUGGAGCCAGCCGCCGAAGGUGGGACAGAUAAUUGGGGUGAAGUCGUAACAAGGUAGCCGUAUCGGAAGGUGCGGCUGGAUCACCUCCUUUCUAAGGAA